AACCAUAGAAACCUGCGGAGUACCUGCGGAGGGAUCAUUACAGAGUUCAUGCCCUCACGGGUAGAUCUCCCACCCUUGAAUACUAUACCUUUGUUGCUUUGGCGGGCCGCUUUGGCUACUGGCUCUGGCUAGUAAGUGCCCGCCAAAGAACCCCAAAACUCUGAAUAUUAGUGUCGUCUGAGUACUAUAUAAUAGUUAAAACUUUUAGCAACGGAUCU
rnacentral:misc_RNA from 1 species